AGUAUCCUGCAUCUUGCCAGGUGAAAGUGCAAACUUGGAUUAACAAUACAGAAGAUGACGAAUUUGUUGGUGUUGGAGCUCGAUUUGGCCCCUCAAUAGUUUCAAAAGAGAAACAUGCCAACCGAACUUGCCUUACUCUUUCAGAUCCUUCUGAUUGCUGCACUCCACCUAAGAAAAAGUUUGCUGGAGAUGUACUACUAGUGCAUCAAGGCAAAUGCAAAUUCACAACAAAGGCAAAGGUCGCAAAAGCUGCUGGUGCAUCUGCCAUCCUCAUUAUUAAUAACCAUAAAGAGUUAUACAAGAUGGUCUGUGAUAGGAAUGAAACCGGUUUGAACAUAAGUAUUCUUGCUGUUAUGCUGCCACAAGAUGCAGGUGCUAGCUUGGAGACUAGUCUUCAACAUGGUUCCUCAGGUAGCUUUCCUUUUCAGAACAAAUUAAAAAUUAACAUAUGACAUACUCUCCUAGCACCUAACUCGAAAUGAAGUUUAAUGGGUUCCAAUCCAGUU